ensembl:lncRNA
AUAUUGUACAUCCAUGGUCUCACCUCGGUUGAGGCCAGGGAUGCACAAGGUAUAUCAGACAGAAGUGUGUGUGUGUGUGUGUGUGUGUGUGUGUGUGUGUGUGUGUGUGUGUCUACAGUACCAGCGUCCGAUUGUAACGUGGGCAAUUUCUCGUCAACAUUAAUGAAGCUUUCAAGGCUUUUUGAUUGAUCGGCAAAUAGAUGGGGAUUCUCCGGGGAGCUCCGCCCACCUGCGUCGCCUGCCGCCCCCAACCCCCCACCGCCGUCGGCCCCUGCUGCUUCCACCCCGUUCCCCCCCGGCCCUCUGCCCAUGCCUGCCUGCAGCCCCCCGCUCUUAACAUGACACUGG